rfam:Schistosoma haematobium scaffold1509_10, whole genome shotgun sequence.
AUCCAGCUGACGAGCCCUUAACGGGACGAAACGUGCGUUCUGGAU